UGGAGCCGGGCGCCUCUUGGUGCCGAGGCUCAUUUUUCGGGGCUCCCGGGCUCUGGCGUGGGGGGGGCGGGAGGUGACCCGGCUCCAGGGCAGCCCCUGGUCCGUCACCCCUUGCCUGGUGCCGGAGCGCCACAGGGGAGUGCGCGUUGCCCCUGCUGGGGAUGGAGGGAGCUGCUCGCGGAUCCCCUGGGAUUUCCCCGCGAGCCUGCCCCCUAAGUUGUCCUUGCAGCCCCCAGUGUCUCGCCCCGGCGCGCUGGCUUUUGUUAGACCCGGUCCUGUGCGUACCCAGAGCGAAGCAGAAGUUUUAACUGCCUUCUUUCCUGUGUAACUGCCUUUUUGAGGAGGAGGAGGAGACCAGCAGAGUGAGGCUGAUCUGAGAGACUGAAGAAAUUGUUUUGGAGGGAGUUAGUCAAGAGAUGUAUUCUUCACUCCCAAGUGCCUGGGAGAUUUUGUAAGAUUCAUUAGAUUCUUCCAUCAGUGCUAUUUUCUCCCUGUGCCAAGGGGAGAUGCUAAGAAAAUGAUUAGAGGAUUCUAAAAAUGGAGGUCCACGGAAGUGUCAGACCUUUCAGAAUAUCAAGAAAUUAAAUCUGUUAGAAAAGAAAAAUGAAUGAACAAAUAACUUGUUGGAUAUUAGCAUCAUUCUACAAAAUAGUUUCAAAGAGUUCAGCAGAUCAGACAAUUGUUUUUAAUGAGUACUAUGAAGAGAGGUAGAAAAACUAUAUGUUGCCUACCCAUCAUCUGGCUGGGCAAGCUGAAGUUUUUGGGAGGACAUGCAGCAUGAUAUGUUCUAUCAUAAAUUUUAGCCCUUCUCAUCCACAUUGUGGGAAGAAAGGAUAUUUCUUUCUUGAGGAAUAGAAGAAUAUUCAGCUGCAUCCUAUAAGUAAUAUACUACAUAUUCAUAUGUCUUCUGAUGUCAGCUGAUUUCUAUUAGCAAUUUAUAUUAGGUUUUUAUAGAACUCUUCCAACUUCACCGUUUGAGUUGUAACCAGGUAAGAUGCAAUCUCUGAAAAAUUGUCAUGGUAUAAGAUGCAAUAUAACAAUAAUCAUUAAUUUUGUAUGAAGCCGGUUGUGCAUUGUGUUGAUGCUGGUAGGAGAAGGAACCUAAGUGCUUUUAGUGAAAUACAAUAGCUAGAAAUUGUGGAUGGGAAUGAUAACUGUGUACAAAAUUAUUUCUUUUCUAGAUCCUGCCAUCAAUGACUGAGCCUCCCUGAAAUCUUCCUUAUCAGUUACUGCCAAGAUGAGAAGGAUAACAGAAAGGAGGAUUGCUUGUGAUUUUAAUGAUAUUCGAUAAAUAGGUGAAAUAAGUCAUUCUUAAAACUUUUCAAUUUUUGUACAAAAAGACACUCUUUUGGAAGCUGUUUUUGUAAAACCAUUCUCUUUGGUUAAAAAAAAAUCAGAGAUUGUUUAUUUAUAUAAAAUGAAUGAUAUAGUCAUUGAAAAAUUUGUCAAACUUCUUUUUUGGAAAUUUAAACUGUGUACUCAUUUAUUAGAAGGGUGGUGAAUGUUAUGUGAGGAAGUGUUUCUUGCAAGAGUCCUCUUAUGCAAUAGAAUAGUUACUGAUGACACUCAUAAUUAUCUAAAUUACUGUUGCCUCAGCCUCCUGCAACAGUAAAUUGCAUACCUUUUAAGAAUUUCUGAAACAAAUAUGCAGUGAAUAGGAGUUUGUCUCCCUCCUUUCUUGAUUUACACAUUCUUUCUUUGAUCAAAGCUUUUCUAGUCUCCAGAAAGGGAGGCCAAGAAAGAUGCCUUACACAUACUUCACUUUUCUGAAGCAACAAGAGUGGCUUUGGUUUUUUAUGUAUGAAGAUUGCCCAGAUCCAAAUAUUUGAAGAGGAGAGAGAAAUGGUUAGGGUGUAGUCUCACACAAAACCAAGUCCAAGUGUUGCUUUUGCACAUCUUUGCUUCAUGCCAACCCCUUGCACUCCCAGCUUGGUUUUACCAGUCUAAUUCAGAGUUAGAGUCAAACAGGAGCCUACAGUUUACAGGAUCUUUCAAAAAAGUGCCCUGUUUUUGAAAGAACCGAGUCUAGACUGCGGUUUCAAUUUCAA